GAUCAAUGUGAAUUUAAAUCUAUCACUGACACAAAACUUCUGUCCCUCUCUUUUCCUCUUCCAUGUCUAUAUUCCUAGGUGCCUAUUUUAUCUGGCUUCCAAGUCUCUAACGCAGUGGAUUUUUGCUGCUUGAAAGGAAGCAAUUCCUCUGCAGGCCAACAACUGUGCUUCCAGAAAGGGGCUGUUUGCUGGCAUGAAGCUGAAGAAGAAGAAAAAAGGCGAGAAAGGGUUGACUAUUGCAAACAAAGACGCACUAGGUAAGGCCCCAUAAAUCAAUACUGCAACUGACGAGAGCAUGUUGGGGAUUAUACAAUACCUAAUUUCAUGUGAACUCAUUUGAAU
rnacentral:lncRNA from 1 species